rnacentral:rRNA from 1 species
UACGUAGGGGGCAAGCGUUGUCCGGAUUCAUUGGGCGUAAAGAGCGUGUAGGCGGCCAGGUAGGUCGGUUGUGAAAACUGGAGGCUCAACCUUCAGAGGUCGACCGAAACCAUCUGGCUAGAGUCCGGGAGAGGAGAGUGGAAUUCCACGUGUAGCAGUGAAAUGCGUAGAGAUGUGGAGGAAUACCGAUGGCGAAGGCAGCCUCCUGGGCCAACACUGACGCUCAUGCACGAAAGCGUGGGGAGCAAACAGG